rnacentral:rRNA from 1 species
AUGAACGCUAGCUACAGGCUUAACACAUGCAAGUCGAGGGGCAGCAUGAACAUAGCUUGCUAUGUUUGAUGGCGACCGGCGCAAGGGUGCGUAACGCGUGAGCAACUUGCCCUCAUCAGGGGAAUAACCGUUGGAAACGACGACUAAUACCCCAUAGCACAUAUUUAAGGCAUCUUUUAUAUGUUAAAGAAUUUCGGAUGAGGAUAGGCUCGCGUGACAUUAGCUAGAUGGCGGGGUAACGGCCCACCAAGUCGACGAUAGCUAGGGGAUCUGAGAGGACGGUCCCCCACACUGGUACUGAGACACGGUCCAGACUCCUACGGGAGGCAGCAGUGAGGAAUAUUGGUCAAUGGUCUGACGACUGAACCAGCCAUGCCGCGUGAAGGUCACGGCCCUAUGGGUCUUAAACUUCUUUUGUAAGGGAGCAAUAAGUCUCACGUGUGGGAUGAUGAGAGUACCUUACGAAUAAGCAUCGGCUAACCCCGUG